CCUACGGGUGGCAGCAGUGAGGAAUAUUGGUCAAUGGACGAGAGUCUGAACGAGCCAAGUAGCGUGAAGGAUGAAUGCCCUAUGGGCUGUAAACUUCUUUUAUAAAGGAAUAAAACGAGGCACGUGUGCCUUUUUGCAUGUACUUUAUGAAUAAGGAUCGGCUAACUUCGUGCCAACAGCGGCGGUAAUACGGAGGAUCCGAGGGUUAUCCGGAUUGAUUGGGUUUAAAGGGAGCGUAGAUGGGUUGUUAAGUCAGUUGUGAAGGUUUGCGGCUCAACCGUAAAAUUGCAAUUGAUACUGGCAGUCUUGAGUACAGUUGAGGUAGGCGGAAUUCCUGGUGUAGCGGUGAAAUGCUUAGAUAUCACGAAGAACCCCGAUUGCGAAGGCAGCUUACUAAACUGUGACUGACAUUGAUGCUCGAAAGUGUGGGUAUCAAACAGGAUUAGAUACCCUGGUAGUC
rnacentral:rRNA from 1 species